UGGCGGCGUGCUUAACACAUGCAAGUCGCGCGUGAAAGGACUUCGGUCCGAGUAAAGCGGCGCACGGGUGAGUAACGCGUGGAUGAUCUACCCAUGAGUUAGGAAUAACGGCUGGAAACGGUCGCUAAUACCAAAUACGCUCCGAUUUCAACUUCGGGGGAAAGGUGGCCUCUGCUUGCAAGCUACUGCUCAUGGAUGAGUCCGCGUCCCAUUAGCUAGUUGGUGGGGUAACGGCCCACCAAGGCGACGAUGGGUAGCCGGUCUGAGAGGAUGACCGGCCACACUGGGACUGGAACACGGCCCAGACUCCUACGGGAGGCAGCAGUGGGGAAUAUUGCGCAAUGGGCGAAAGCCUGACGCAGCGACGCCGCGUGAGGGAUGAAAGGUCCUCGGAUCGUAAACCUCUGUCAGGAGGGAAGAACCGCCACGGUGCUAAUCAGCCGUGGUCUGACGGUACCUCCAAAGGAAGCACCGGCUAACUCCGUGCCAGCAGCUGC
rnacentral:rRNA from 1 species